GACGAACGCUGGCGGCGUGCCUAAUACAUGCAAGUCGAACGGUCUUUUCUAUGGAAGCUUGCUUCCACUGAGAAGAUAGUGGCGAACGGGUGAGUAACACGUGGGUAACCUGCCCAUAAGAGGGGGAUAACAUCCGGAAACGGGUGCUAAUACCGCAUAGUUUUCUUGAUCGCAUGAUCGGGAAAGGAAAGACGGCCUUUGUGCUGUCGCUUAUGGAUGGACCCGCGGCGUAUUAGUUAGUUGGUGAGGUAACGGCUCACCAAGACGAUGAUACGUAGCCGACCUGAGAGGGUGAUCGGCCACAUUGGGACUGAGACACGGCCCAAACUCCUACGGGAGGCAGCAGUAGGGAAUCUUCCGCAAUGGACGAAAGUCUGGCGGAGCAACGCCGCGUGAGUGAAGAAGGUUUUCGGAUCGUAAAACUCUGUUGUCAGAGAAGAACAAGUUGGAGAGUAACUGUUCCAGCCUUGACGGUAUCUGACCAGAAAGCCACGGCUAACU
rnacentral:rRNA from 1 species